rnacentral:rRNA from 1 species
CAGCCGCCACGGGAAUACGUAGGGUGCAAGCGUUAAUCGGAAUUACUGGGCGUAAAGCGUGCGCAGGCGGUUAUAUAAGACAGAUGUGAAAUCCCCGGGCUCAACCUGGGAACUGCAUUUGUGACUGUAUAGCUAGAGUACGGCAGAGGGGGAUGGAAUUCCGCGUGUAGCAGUGAAAUGCGUAGAUAUGCGGAGGAACACCGAUGGCGAAGGCAAUCCCCUGGGCCUGUACUGACGCUCAUGCACGAAAGCGUGGGGAGCAAACAGGAUUAGAGACCCGUGUAGUCCCUGUCUCUUAUAC